UACGAAGGGGGCUAGCGUUGUUCGGAAUCACUGGGCGUAAAGGGCGCGUAGGCGGCUUUAUAAGUCGGGGGUGAAAGCCUGUGGCUCAACCACAGAAUUGCCUUCGAUACUGUAGAGCUUGAGACCGGAAGAGGUAAGUGGAACUGCGAGUGUAGAGGUGAAAUUCGUAGAUAUUCGCAAGAACACCAGUGGCGAAGGCGGCUUACUGGUCCGAUACUGACGCUGAGGCACGAAAGCGUGGGGAGCAAACAGG
rnacentral:rRNA from 1 species